GCAAUUGGAAUGAGAAAUAUUUAAAUCCCUUAUCGAGGAUCAACUGAAGGGCAAGUCUGGUGCCAGCAGCCGCGGUAAUUCCAGCUCCAAUAGCGUAUAUUAAAGUUGUUGCAGUUAAAAAGCUCGUAGUUGGACUUCUGGCUGGGCGCCGAUGUGACACAAAGUGCUCACAAGGCACCGGCCAUCCUUCUGUAAACUGCGUUAGUACUUCAUUGGACUGCGUAGGGAUCAGAUAAUUUACCUUGAGAAAAUUAGAGUGUUUCAGGCAGGCUUAGCCGGAAUACAUUAGCAUGGAAUAAUGGAAUAGGACUAUGGUCUCGUUGUUGGUUUGAGGGACUGCAGUAAUGAUUAAUAGGGAUAGUUGGGGGCAUUAGUAUUUAAUUGUCAGAGGUGAAAUUCUCAGAUUUGUUAAAGACUAACUUAUGCGAAAGCAUUUGCCAAGGAUGUUUUCAUUAAUCAAGAACGAAAGUUAGGGGAUCAAAGACGAUCAGAUACCGUCCUAGUCUUAACCAUAAACUAUGCCGACUCGGGAUCGGGGGCGCGAACUAUCCGCCUUCGGC
rnacentral:rRNA from 1 species